UCUAUCAAAGGAGAAUAGU
rnacentral:tRNA from 1 species